rnacentral:rRNA from 1 species
AUUGAACGCUGGCGGCAGGCCUAACACAUGCAAGUCGAGCGGCAGCGGGUCCUUCGGGAUGCCGGCGAGCGGCGGACGGGUGGGUAAUGCCUAGGAAUCUGCCUGGUAGUGGGGGAUAACGUUCGGCAACGGACGCUAAUACCGCAUACGUCCUACGGGAGAAAGUGGGAUCUUCGGACCCCACGCUAGCAGCUGACACGAGGUCGGAUUAGCUAGUUGGUGGGGUAAAGGCUCACCAAGGCGACGAUCCGUAACUGGUCUGAGAGGAUGAUCAGUCACACUGGAACUGAGAAACGGUCCAGACUCCUACGGGAGGCAGCAGUGGGGAAUAUUGGACAAUGGGCGAAAGCCUGAUCCAGCCAUGCCGCGUGUGUGAAGAAGGUCUUCGGAUUGUAAAGCACUUUAAGUUGGGAGGAAGGGCAGUCAGUUAAUACCUGGUUGUUUUGACGUUACCAACAGAAUAAGCACCGGCUAACUUCGUGCCAGCAGCCGCGGUAAAAC